rnacentral:rRNA from 1 species
AACUAACGCUGGCGGCGUGCCUAAACACAUGCAAGUCGUACGAGAAAGUCGGCUUCGGCUGAUGAGUAAAAGUGGCGCACGGGUGAGUAACGCGUGGAUAAUCUGCCCUUGAGUGUGGAAUAACGUACCGAAAGGUGCGCUAAUACCGCAUAAUGCCUGGCAACACAAGUUGUCCGGCCAAAGAAGGCCUCUGUUUACAAGCUUUUGCUCAAGGAUGAGUCCGCGUACCAUUAGCUAGUUGGUGGGGUAACGGCCUACCAAGGCUACGAUGGUUAGCUGGUCUGAGAGGAUGAUCAGCCACACUGGAACUGAGACACGGUCCAGACUCCUACGGGAGGCAGCAGUGAGGAAUAUUGCGCAAUGGGGCAACCCUGACGCAGCAACGCCGCGUGAGUGAGGAAGGUUUUCGGACUGUAAAGCUCUGUCGAGCGGAAGAAAUGUACCAUGGCUAAUAUCCAUGAUAUUUGACGUACGCUAGAG